rnacentral:rRNA from 1 species
GAUGAACGCUGGCGGCGUGCCUAAUACAUGCAAGUCGAGCGAACAGAUGAGGAGCUUGCUCCUCUGACGUUAGCGGCGGACGGGUGAGUAACACGUGGAUAACCUACCUAUAAGACUGGGAUAACUUCGGGAAACCGGAGCUAAUACCGGAUAAUAUAUUGAACCGCAUGGUUCAAUAGUGAAAGACGGUUUUGCUGUCACUUAUAGAUGGAUCCGCGCCGCAUUAGCUAGUUGGUAAGGUAACGGCUUACCAAGGCAACGAUGCGUAGCCGACCUGAGUGGGUGAUCGGCCACACUGGAACUGAGACACGGUCCAGACUCCUACGGGAGGCAGCAGUAGGGAAUCUUCCGCAAUGGGCGAAAGCCUGACGGAGCAACGCCGCGUGAGUGAUGAAGGUCUUCGGAUCGUAAAACUCUGUUAUUAGGGAAGAACAAAUGUGUAAGUAACUAUGCACGUCUUGACGGUACCGAAUCAGAAAGCCACGGCUAACUACGU